CGUGCCAGUUCAUAACCAGGUAUUAUACGUAAGAUAAAAAUCAUGCAGCAGCAGAUCUAUCUUGAACCCAUAUAACUGCAUAGGAGUAUUCUACACUGAAUUUCCAAAAAUCUUGCAAUCUCCUUAACUACCAAAAAGGAGCAAGAACAGACCCUCCUCACCUCUAGCCACUGAACAACUGCUGCAAGAAAGCACCACCAAGGCAAAGUGUUGGAACAAUGAAAUCGGAUGACUUCUUUUCUGGA
rnacentral:lncRNA from 1 species